rnacentral:rRNA from 1 species
UACAGAGGUCUCAAGCGUUGUUCGGAUUCAUUGGGCGUAAAGGGUGCGUAGGUGGCGAGGUAAGUCGGAUGUGAAAUCUCCAAGCUCAACUUGGAAACUGCAUUCGAUACUGCUUUGCUAGAGGAUUGUAGAGGGCAUUGGAAUUCACGGUGUAGCAGUGAAAUGCGUAGAUAUCGUGAAGAAGACCAGUGGCGAAGGCGAAUGCCUGGGCAAUUCCUGACACUGAGGCACGAAGGCCAGGGGAGCAAACGGG